GCGGUCGUAGUCCAGCCUGGAUAGGACGCUGGCCUCCCAAGCCAGUAAUCCCGGGUUCAAAUCCCGGCGGCCGCA
rnacentral:tRNA from 1 species